rnacentral:snoRNA from 1 species
CAACAAUGAUGUCAAAAAUAUUUGCUACUCUUGAUGUAAAAUGAUGUUAACUUAACACCAAAUUAACUGAGUUC